GUCUACAGUCAUACCACCCUGAACAUGCCUGAUCGUGUCUGAUCUUGGAAGCUAAGCAGGGUCGGGCCUGGUUAAUACUUGGAUGGGAGACCAAUAGUUCAAAAAGGAUUCUUUCUAAC
rnacentral:rRNA from 1 species